AUUGAACGCUGGCGGCAGGCCUAACACAUGCAAGUCGAACGGUAACAGGAAGCAGCUUGCUGCUUCGCUGACGAGUGGCGGACGGGUGAGUAAUGUCUGGGAAACUGCCUGAUGGAGGGGGAUAACUACUGGAAACGGUAGCUAAUACCGCAUAACGUCGCAAGACCAAAGAGGGGGACCUUAGGGCCUCUUGCCAUCGGAUGUGCCCAGAUGGGAUUAGCUAGUAGGUGGGGUAACGGCUCACCUAGGCGACGAUCCCUAGCUGGUCUGAGAGGAUGACCAGCCACACUGGAACUGAGACACGGUCCAGACUCCUACGGGAGGCAGCAGUGGGGAAUAUUGCACAAUGGGCGCAAGCCUGAUGCAGCCAUGCCGCGUGUAUGAAGAAGGCCUUCGGGCUGUAAAGUACUUUCAGCGGGGAGGAAGGGAGUAAAGUUAAUACCUUUGCUCAUUGACGUUACCCGCAGAAGAAGCACCGGCUAACUCCGUG
rnacentral:rRNA from 1 species